GAUGAACGCUGGCGGCGUGCCUAACACAUGCAAGUCGAGCGAGAUAAAUGUGAGUGGAGACUUCAGUCAAAGCAAUCAUUUUGAAAGCGGCGGACGGGUGAGUAACGCGUGAGCAAUCUGCCCCAUACAAAGGGAUACCCACUGGAAACGGUGAUUAAUACCUUAUAAGACCACAAAGUCGCCUGGCUUAGUGGCCAAAGACUUAUCGGUAUGGGAUGAGCUCGCGUCUGAUUAGCUAGUUGGUGAGGUAAUGGCUCACCAAGGCGACGAUCAGUAGCCGACCUGAGAGGGUGAACGGCCACACUGGAACUGAGACACGGUCCAGACUCCUACGGGAGGCAGCAGUGGGGAAUAUUGCACAAUGGGCGCAAGCCUGAUGCAGCAACGCCGCGUGAAUGAUGAAGGCCUUCGGGUCGUAAGUUCUGUCCUAAGGGAAGAAUACAGUGACGGUACCUUAGGAGGAAGCCCCGGCUAACUACGUGCCAGCCGCCGCUGUAAUAC
rnacentral:rRNA from 1 species